rnacentral:lncRNA from 1 species
AUCGUCUCUCAUGGGGUUUGGGAGUGGAGCACUUCUGUUUUUCUUUAUGAUUCAUUGAUCAACCGUGAAAGAACAAACACAUCAAAUGCUGAAACUUGGGUUACAGUCCAUUGGUGAUUCUCUCCAGGACACUGCGGUCUCCCAAAGAAUCAUAGGCUUAAAGAGAUGGCAGAGAUUUCAGAGAUUCUUUAGCUAAACCCCUUGAUCUUUAUAGAUGAGAAAAUUGAGCUCAGAGAGGUGACAUGACUUGCAAAGUCAUCCAGCUAGUUGGUGGCAAAGAGGGAUUUCAAACCUUCUUUUUUCUGACUUUCAGUCCCCAUUGCAUCAUGUCCUGCACCAACUCAUGUCCUGCACCAACUCAUGUCCUGCACCAACUCAUGUAUUUCUAAAAAGCCUUUCUGUAUUAUCAGGUGUUGGCAAACAGCCACAGGCCAUGUCCAGCUUGCCACUUGUUUGUGCAAAUAAAGUUUUAUUGGAACACAGCCAUGUUCAUUUGUCUACUUAUUGUCUAUGGUUGUUUUCUCGCUACAGUGGCAGAAUUGAGUAGUUGCAUCAGAGUCGCUCUAACGUCUGGCCCUUCACAGAAAAAGUUCGCCAACCCUUGUUGUAUAUCAAGCUUGACUGAAAUUCUCUUUUUUUUUUUUUUUUUUUUUUUUUUUUACUCUUUUUGUAUCAGACCCUAUUGUCAAAAGUUGAAGAAAGUGCAGUUGGGUAGAGAAUUAUGGGAAAGAAGAAAGAGGAAGAAAAGAACUAACAUUGCUAACAUUUAUUUAUCUGAGACAGGAUAAUAGAGGCUUUAUAUAUGUCAUCUCAUUAAGUUCUCAAAAAGAUGCUGGAGACUGAUAUUUUCAGCCCCAUUCUGUAAAUAAGAAAACAGGCUCAGAGAGGUAAGAGUUAAGUUGCUAGGUUUAUGCCACUAACAAUUAGCAGAAUGAGGAUUUGAAUCCAGCCUUCUCCAUUUGAAGAUUCUAUAAUUCUUUCAAUUAUAUCAUGUGGUUGUUGUAGUCAGGGUUACCUUUCAUUUUCUUAAAAAAGUGCUAUACUAUCCUCCAAAUUGAAAUAGUUUAAUUAAAAAAUAAUAUUUGGUACGAAAUAAUAUUUAAAAAGCAAGUAACUAUAGGUUAACAUUAUAUAAUUCAUGGUGUUGCCAUGGGUUAUGUUUUUGUUUGGGUGCUUGUUUAUACAAGUAAGUGAGUUGGACUGCAGAUGAUGAGAACAAUACAUUUCUUGACAAGAAAUUUGCAUUUUGCAUUAUUGGAGAAACUUAAUGGCUCAGCAACAGGUAGAAUCAAAGUCCUGUAUGUAUGUUCACACAGAUAAUUACAUAGAUAACAUGUAAUGUGUUUUUAUUUAAUCAGCAAUCCCCCCUCUCCAAGGCUUGCCACAAUUCUCUAAACCAGUGGUUAACAAACAGACCUAAUCAUCUGCAUCACCCAUGAAGUUCCUUAGGGUGCAGAUUUCCAGGACCUUCCCGCCACCUACCUAAGUCAGUAUAUCUGAGUUUAGGUUUGGGCGUCUGUAAUUUUAUUUUAUUGUUUAACCUCUGGAGAUGGUUCUGAUGAUCAGCCAGCUUUGGGAACCAUUACCCUAGAGAACCAGUGAGCAGGCAAGGCCCUGCGUCUUUGUCUCAGUCUUUCCUGGUCCUCCUCUAAGUCCUCUAAACCUGUCCACCACCUGAGCCCUACGCUUUGGUCAGUGUGCGUGCUCUUCUCUGUCUUUGUCAAAUGAGGCUGAGUGCAGGGGUAGGGGCACUUCCUUCAUCACAAUGUAUUUUCUCAGCAUCCAGGAAAGUGGUGCAAACACCUUCUGCCUUAAUUGCAGUGAAUGUGGCUUGUUAUGCUUUUAUCUCUGUCAUUGCCUUUUUUGCUUUCUAUUUGCAUUUCACAGAGUGCUCCAAUGACAAAUUCAAUUCUGAUUUCUUCUGCUCCCUGAGUACAAAAGUAAAGUUCAUGGACACUCAGAAUUGAGAUCAUAAAAGGUCAUACAUUUUCC